UGCAGUCGACGAACUCUGGUAUUGAUUGGUGCUUGCAUCAUGAUUUACAUUUGAGUGAGUGGCGAACUGGUGAGUAACACGUGGGAAACCUGCCCAGAAGCGGGGGAUAACACCUGGAAACAGAUGCUAAUACCGCAUAACAACUUGGACCGCAUGGUCCGAGUUUGAAAGAUGGCUUCGGCUAUCACUUUUGGAUGGUCCCGCGGCGUAUUAGCUAGAUGGUGGGGUAACGGCUCACCAUGGCAAUGAUACGUAGCCGACCUGAGAGGGUAAUCGGCCACAUUGGGACUGAGACACGGCCCAAACUCCUACGGGAGGCAGCAGUAGGGAAUCUUCCACAAUGGACGAAAGUCUGAUGGAGCAACGCCGCGUGAGUGAAGAAGGGUUUCGGCUCGUAAAACUCUGUUGUUAAAGAAGAACAUAUCUGAGAGUAACUGUUCAGGUAUUGACGGUAUUUAACCAGAAAGCCACGGCUAACUACGUGCCAGCAGCCGCGGUAAUACGUAGGUGGCAAGCGUUGUCCGGAUUUAUUGGGCGUAAAGCGAGCGCAGGCGGUUUUUUAAGUCUGAUGUGAAAGCCUUCGGCUCAACCGAAGAAGUGCAUCGGAAACUGGGAAACUUGAGUGCAGAAGAGGACAGUGGAACUCCAUGUGUAGCGGUGAAAUGCGUAGAUAUAUGGAAGAACACCAGUGGCGAAGGCGGCUGUCUGGUCUGUAACUGACGCUGAGGCUCGAAAGUAUGGGUAGCAAACAGGAUUAGAUACCCUGGUAGUCCAUACCGUAAACGAUGAAUGCUAAGUGUUGGAGGGUUUCCGCCCUUCAGUGCUGCAGC
rnacentral:rRNA from 1 species